CGACAUGAUUAUGUUUAUAUAUUGGUGCCGUGCGCCGAUAUUUAAUCGCCAAAUGCUGUCGCAUGUGUAAGUAUGUAACGCGUCAGUCGUCGAGACGAUCACGCCGAAUGGAAAAUUAAGGAAUCAGAUUUAAAAUAUUCGGCGACGGAUGCAUAAGUCGAUUGGAAAUGGAAUUAAAAGGACGUGCCCAAGGUAGUCUGCAGUAUUCUCUCGACAGUUCCUUUGUGCCGCUCGUGUCGUUUUUCGUUCAGGAUUAUUCAUGCGAAGCAAAAAGUUCAACGAAGCUUCGAGUCGAGGCAGGGCUGCGAAUAAAAUUACGAACAUCCGAAAAGCUACGGGAUAUUCGUCACGCGUAUCAAUAGCUCGGCGAAAUUUGUGAAUCUCAUGGCUGGGGUUCGUAAAUUUUUCGAGGACAACUCCACGUGUCCUCGAAAAGUUUCCAUUCUCAAGAUCGACAAUGCCCUGUAGAGCGCCUGUCCCAGGAGAGGAAUCCUUGUGUUCGAUUUUGUAUGCUGGUGAUUUGUGGACUCUGCUCGUGUACCUGCGGUCGACACCUGAACCAUUUGGUAGAAUGAAUGGUUCAGCAGGUACUCUCGCGAUUCAUGGUGUAAAUUUCAUCGAACAAUCGGCUUCAUUAACGAACAAAGCCUCGAAACGACUCAGUCUGACUCGAACGUAGGUUUCUGGCUAACAAGUUGCAAAACUGUGAUACGACGAUGUAGUAAAAUUUUUCUCUUCCAACUUGUGUACCUGAUACACCGAGAGACAUGGGAGACACAAGAGAAAGAUACGAUAAGUACAUCUUUGUUGAUUUUCUGAUUUUAAUGUAGUUUUAUGAUUAAACGAGAGAAUUAUAACAUAUAAUUAAGAACGAAGAUAGUCUGUUUUGUUUGAAGAUGAAAGAGUUUUAAAAGUAGCUGAUAAGUUGACCAAGUUUUGUGGAAGCCAAAGAUAUUAUUAUUAAGAUAAGCAAUAUUUAAAGAUUUUCAAUACUGCGAUGUUACAGCGACCAGUAUUUAUCGUGAAAAUUUAGUGUGAAAGUUGAGAAUUUUUGUAGAGCUUCCAAGAUUUAUUAUUAUACUCGCUGUUUCAUUUUUAAUUUUGUGGAACUUCUAACAUGUAUGCUUUCCUAAGCUUCGCUUUAGAUUGCUCGUAUUCUGUGAUUUCACUGUAUGUGAAUUUUACUUAUUGCUGUUUUAUCACGGUUAUUAUUACAACCGGAUAUUUAUACCUGUUCGAUUGCAAUUACACAAUAAAUCUGAACAACACAUCUCAUUAAUCUCGAUUACGCGUAUCGGCGUUCGAGAUCUAUUGCUAAUUCCAUUUAUCAUUCGUUAUGUCCUUCUAGAGAAUUCCUUUCAUAAGACGCGAUAAAUUGUAAAAUGUUGAUCAACGUGUUAAAACCGUUAGAUCGAAUCGUUUGAAUUAUUACGAGUUAAAAAAUUUAAAUUUUUUAUUCCUUUAGUGUCUAAAUUCAAGAUAUUUAAAUGGAAGAAAGAAGCGUCGCAAAAGAGUGUCAAACUAUUUACAAAUUUUUGUCACAUGUUCUGGCUACGACAGUGAAAGGAAGAUUUCGUUUAUUUUACAGCAGGACGGCUGUAAAUCUUUGGUUGUGAAGCGAUCCCCGUGGACAAAAGGCAUCACAUUACAAUGUAAAUCUGUUGAGAAAGGUUCAAAUUUUGAAAGUGAGAUCCUUCCAGACGAUUAUACGAUAGCUCCGACUGCGCUACAUACUUUUUCUGCGUUUCUAAAUUACAUUUUCAACGACUUUCUCAACAAGAUGGCAAAAAUAUUAUUUUUACCCUAAUAGUCUACAGUUUUGGACACUCGAAUAAAAAGAAACGUUAUAAACUGCGUUUCAGAUCGAUUGAAAAUUAUAGUGCAAUUAGUAAGUUACAGUGUAAUUAGUAACAAAUAACUGUAAAUCAGUUCAUUGUUACGUUUCAUAAAAUAGCGUUCUGCUUUCGUCCUACGUUCCAUCUUUCAUCGUUGUGAAAAAUUCAUUAUAUUUCGCUAAAUCAUAAAAACGAGAUAGAGAAUAAAGUUACAAUUUCAUUGAUCAUGAAACUAAGAUAACGAUGUUUUCAAGAUUUGAAAUACGUGACUAAAUUGAAAUCCACAAAAUCAGAUUUUACGUUACUAUGAUUUUUAAUCCGUCGUAUGCUACUUCGUCUUAUCACAGAGGCAUACUUUAAAAUCUACGAUGGAAUAAUAAAUUCCAGAUAUUUUUCCUAUCUACGUUUAAAACAGGGAAAGAAUCGCCAGUGCCACAGUGAACAUUAAAAUAAGUUGAUAAGUAGGUUUAUUACUGUGGCUUUGCUUAUCAGAGGAGAUUAAUAAAAGUAAGUCGGCUUUUUGGAGAAAACAAACUGAAAUAAAUACACGAGUUUUCAGAUGAUUUCGUUCGUUGAUAGAGAGGUUGGAGAACUCUUUCGAGAUUAUAAUUAAAAGCGGUGUAAUUAAACGCGUACGGUGCUCCGUUAAUGCUUAAUUAAACAGGAAUAUGUUUCAGUCGGUGGGAAUAAGUUAAUUAUAGUAAGUUAAUAAGGAAGUUUGCAAGACGAAUAUAAUAAAUAGACGGAAAUUUAUUAAGGUUACACGUUCACGUUAUUCGCGUCUGUGUAUUCCGAAACUCGAUGAAAAAUUGCCAACUCUUAACGAACUGGAACCUAUUUAACACCCGGUACCUUUUAGAAGAUCUUUUUACUCCAGCCGCGUUCACGUUCCGUUAAAAAAGUUUCGUAACUUCGGGAGAAACGAGUAUCUGCUCUUAAAAAAUUUCCGAUCUAUUAAAAUUUAUUAAAUACGAAGAAAUAAUUGACAAAAUAAUAUGACGUCACUCGUUCACUCGUUAUUAGUAACCGUGUCAGCCGAUAUGGCAUAAAAUCCGAAAAUAAAAAAGGAAAACCUUCGACGUAAUAUUAAAGCGAAAAAUGUGUCGUAACAAAUAUAAAACAGGGCGAAUUUACGUUACAACCCAAUAAUUCGCCAAGAAUAAAUUUCAAAACCUGGUUCAUUAUUUCAAUCCUAUUAAAAAAUUCUAUCUUUCGCAAACAUCUUUGUAAAACGACCGAAAUUACGUACAUAUCCAAACACAGUACGUCUGUAUUAUCCAAUAAAUUUGUGAUCUUUAUUUUGCAAAGAAUCACCAACCCUAGAACGACUCUUAUAUUGUACAAUUAUUAAAACUACCAAGCCCUAGUUCUAUUUUAGGCUUACAGUUAUCUUGCAAAAGCCGUAAGUAAUUAUUAUAAUUAAUAAUUAUAGUACUCGCUAUUAAGUAAGCCAUCGAGAAACAUGGUAAACGAUAAAAAGAAAUAUACUCAACGGAAAUAAAGCUCCUUUCCCUUUUAAAUAAAAAUCUUCAAACUAAAUCUACUUAAUUCCAGCUUGUCGAGGGUUGCUAGCUUUCUGUAUAACUAGGCACGAUUAAACUUAACGAAAAAAAAGCUGAAAAAUCAUCGUCACGCAAUUAAACUCGAUGGAGAUAAAUCUCUCCAGACGUCCUCUUACUCUCUUGACAAAAAUUUCUAUCAGAACACUCCGAAAUAAGUAAAAUAAAACACAUGGUAAAAAGUAAACGAGACGACUCUUCCUCUCCUAUCAAUUAACGAUUAACCCUCUGUCGUCGAAUGUAACAUUUAAGAUUUGUCUUUGAAGUAAUUUAAGACCGAAUUUCGCCACACCAACGACAUUUUAAAAUUUGUCGCCAGCCUUCUCGACACCCCGAAAUCGAUAUAUCGACUCCGCGGUUUUCUCGAGAAGUAAUUUGAGCCAACAUCUCAACUAGAGGUAAGUUUUCGUAAUAGAAAAUAUUUCUACCCAACAGGUAUACGUACACGUGUUUUGCUGAGUGCACUUACCUUCGGUAUUAAGAAGAAUACGUUAAUUUUACUAAACGUUUUGGAAAGUCCAUAUUUUCCAGAAUAUUUCCGCACGGUACAUAGAAAACUCGCUAAAAGCGUUCAAGUUACGGCAUACGCGCCGUAAAUAUUUAUUGCUUCGACUGAAAGUGUCACCAGAAAGAUAUGCCAACCGCAAAGGGUUCGAUUCGCCAGAAAUAAACCCGAAGAUUCACCUUCGCCUCGUCCUAUUAACAAAAAAAUAAAUUUCGCUACCGAAACACAUCCAAACCAACAACAAGAUGACAAAGGAAAUCAACGAGAUAUCUGUACGAUUUCUGUCGACGAUUUUUGACCAGUUAAAUUCACCAUGAACGGAGAGUAUAUCCCCUUGGUGAACGGAUGCUCGUGAAGGAUCCGGUGAAUCGAUGCCUGGUGAAGAGUUCCAUGCGCGUGAGUUUCCUCGGCUAGAGUAUCAUUUCUACGAGAUCUCGAUCGAGGGGGAAGGGGGUAAGUUGACCCGGUGACCCAGUUUAUUCCCGGGGGUUGAAUGAACGGCACUGAACGCGAUGACGUCAUUCCCGACCUCAUUUCCGGUUCCCGGUGCAGCCAGCUAUCCCAGCUCCGUCCCGUUGACCCGAAAUUUCUCGUGAAUCGAAGGACGCUCGUUCAUCCCGAGCCAUUCUACCGACUAUGAAUGAAUUUUCUGCAUACGCGUUGCGCGACACUGAAAAAAAAUUCUGAACGCCGUACGAAACACGCUGCGCUCUUUCUACGCCAGUUUCUUUGAUUUCCAGGGGUCAGUUAAUAUUAUUUAAUUACGGGGAAAGUUUUAGCUCAGUUAGCGUUAAGCUUUUAACGAGCCUACUAACCCUCGAUUGGUAUUACGGAAUCAUAGAUAACUAUAACGUUAGAUAAAUAAUAGGCAACGAUUUAUUAUCUUUUCUUUGGUUAAAAAUAACGAUAUUACGUUAGAUGGAUGCUACUUAACGAUUAUAAUUGAAUUAGGUUGCUUAGUUUUAAAGCGUCUAAUGUUAAUUCGUAUUUUCUCGCUCCGAUGUUUUUCUAUUCAAUUUUACUUCAAAUGAAAAUUAAAAGAGAGUGUUUGAAAAUUAAGUAACUUAACGCGAGCUGUCGUUAGUCGAUGCUGACAUAUUAAACAUUUCAAUAAACUGCGUCAAGUAUUCACUUGCGUCAAUUUAUUAUCGAAUCAUAGAUUACAUGGCUAAUAUAAAAAUAUGGAGCAAGUUUAUCAUACAUUUAUGACGUGUUAGGUAGACGACCGUUAUAGCUAUUCGUACGAUGCAGAGAGUAGCUAGUUCCUAUUCUAUCAGUUUGAGAUUAAUCAUUCAGCAAGAAACAAGCUUCGAUCAUGGAACAAAGAAAGGAAGGUAAUGUUUCUGCAUAAUAAACGCCAGAUGAAUUUUACAUUUUGUGCAUCAUUGAAUUCAAAUUGCGAUAUUACCAUUUAAUAACUGCGUAUUACUCAUAAGUAAUUGAAAAAAUCUACUCAAAUGGCUUUGUCGUUUCGUUAGAACUACAUCCGUGAUCAACAAUUUUAAUUGAUCGAUUAUAUGAUGUGUCUUCCAAAUUGGUAUCCUCGCACGUAUAGCGCACGUAUUUUAAUUUUAAGGUCAAUGAUGAAUUAUGUAUUAAUCGUUAAAGCGCUUCUUUUAUUAUUGUUGUAUCAUUUUCUUACAAGGAAAAGAACCUUAAGAUAUUGCAAUCAACAUAAUGAAUUCUCUAAAUACCCUACCCUCUGUUUUUUAAUGUUACUCUAUCAUCUCCUCAAAACAGGAAACAAUAGAAUAUACUGAUCAGUCUAAUAGAUUUUAGCUUCCAUUCCUUCUGGACCAAGGAAAAUAAAAAGAACAUGGUAGCAAGCAGAGACCACGUUUGUAACUAAAAUGUUUUCCAACUUAUUUGUUUUAUCAUCUCUUUAAGGAGCUAAAAAAGAAAAUCGAACAAAAUUAAAUUAAUUAUUUAGGCACUUUAUUCUUCACUUUGUUUUGACGAGGAAAGGUCUUUGUUUGAAACAAGAAGGAGAUAUUAUCAACGAAGACUUCCAUAUCAGAUACUAAAUAGAACUUUACUUCGCUUCGAGCAAAAAAGAUAGGAUGAAAAUAUUACCGAUCAAAGACUUCCGUAUUUCGCAAUUACAACUUAAUUAUCUUAUCGUGUUAUUAAAAAAUACAAACGAAGAAAAUUACUCAUGAACUUGUUAAAUCAUUUAAACACUUCACCUUCUAUCCUGUCUCGAGCGAGAAAAAUCGGAAGAAAGUAAGAAGAAAACACUCAUAUCGUGCGAGAUGCACGUGAUUUGUAACCUGAAAUGGAAAAAUACUAAGUACUCGUGUGGCGUAAGUGUGUUUCAAGUUCGCGGUAAGUGACUUAUGUAACCAUUUUCUUAGUCGUGUGUUGUCAUGAUCGCCAGGGAUCAGCAGUUUCAUCGGGGUUAAUGCAAACGUCAACGACUCGAUUAGACGCUUGCAAUCUUCGUCACCGUUGUCCGACACGGAACAACACUACGGUUUUUAUGGCGAAUAGUAGAAGAAUCGACAGGCAACAGAUGUUGGCCAAACGGAAGGAGCGUGAAAGAAGCAGAGGACGAGGCAGGAAGGCGUAGGCGGUUUAGCUGCGAAUUAAUCCUCCGAGAAAGGGAACAGGUGUCGGCCGCAUUUCCGGAUAGCGCGACGUUCGACUGUUCUUUCGUGGAAGAAUUCGAAACAGCUUCCUUCGUCCACCACCCACGUGUUCUCCCACGAGCAAACCGUACAUGGGAUUUCAACAAUUGUCUAUUACGUUCUUUCCAUAUAUCGAUACGUCAUAAUUGGAUUUGUCUCUCCGUUUUGAUGAAACCUAUUUUUCGAAGCAUUUUUGGCUCACAGCUGGAAUGCGUCGGUUUUCAACGUGAUAAGUUAAUAUUUAGGGAAUUGUCUAUGUUUACAAGCAUACCCAAUCUUUUAUUAAAUUCGCCCCAGUUUAUUUUUCUUUUCAUUUAUUCGUUACCGUUUGAUCGGUGUUUUAUUCGAAUUACACGAAUCGAUUGGCGUUUAUUAAUAUUUAAGUAGCAUACUUAUAGAAAGCUUCUAAUUAAGAAGUAACCUAAAUCAUGGCUUGGAGAUUGAGAGUAACGAAAUUUAUUCUCACUCGAUUUUUCAUCGACGAAGAAAUUAGUCGAAAGCAGGAAUAGAUGAUUGUGAUGCCGUACUAUAUUCUAUGAAUAGAACGAAUGCAAUUGAACGUUCCAGCUAUCGUCUAACGUCUUGCGGAGAAACGAAGACUCCUUAAUCGAUUGAUUUCCUUCGCGAACCAGAAAUGAUAUUUGUCUUAAGCUUAGCAUCUCAAUUCUUGGCAAAAAUCUUCUUUCGAUCGUAACAAGUGUAACGUUGAAUAUAUCUGUAGAGGAUGAUUGGUGGAUAAACCUCACGAGGUUUAAAUGACGAGAUAACUCGAUGUUGAAAUCGUCAAAUAUAUUUUUAAAAUAAUUAAUAAUAAACACAGAGUCAACCGUAGAUUGCUCGCUACGGGUCGUUAAAAUAAUGGUCGCUAAGACGCUCGAUACUAACUGAUUCGCUAAAGAUCGCUCGAGACUGAGACUGAGAAAACUGAAGAACCUUACGAUCGUGUUCGUUUAUUUACACUGGUUUACACAGAGGGGUACCGGAAAAUUUAAAUCCGUCUUUGUUUGACGGUUGUACGUAGCGGCGACAUUAUUUUGCCCGGAGUUUAUUUAUUAUUACAUUAAGUAUGUCCUAACGAUGUUGAUACUCCGAGGCAAAAGAAUAACAUAAUUCAAGUUGUCCUCUAGCUCAUGUGCCGCUACAUAUCUAUUGUUAAAAAUGUUCAGAAUUAGUCGAACAAUGUGGAGCUUGCAGAAUUUGAAAAUUGUAGAGGUGUUUCCUGGAAAGGGAAAGGUCGAUUCGAUCAUUAACGAA